GCGGCUGUGGCGGAAUAGGUAGACGCGCAUCGUUGAGGUCGAUGUCAGCUAAAUUGCUGGUGGAGGUUCAAGUCCUCUCAGCCGCACCA
rnacentral:tRNA from 1 species